rnacentral:rRNA from 1 species
GCUUGUCUCAAAGAUUAAGCCAUGCAUGUCUAAGUAUAAACAAAUUUAUAGUGAAACUGCGAAUGGCUCAUUAUAUCAGUUAUAGUUUAUUUGGCGAUAAAAACUACUUGGAUAACCGUAGUAAUUCUAGAGCUAAUACAUGCAUCAUCCCCCAUCUCGGGGUGUAUUUAUUAGAUGGAAACCAAUGCGGGUUCGCCCGGUAUUUGGUGAUUCAUAAUAACUUUCGGAUCGACUUCGGUCGAUGCAUCAUUCAAGUUUCUGCCCUAUCAGCUUUGGAUGGUAGGGUAUUGGCCUACCAUGGCUUUAACGGGUAACGGAGAAUUAGGGUUCGAUUCCGGAGAGGGAGCCUGAGAAAUGGCUACCACAUCCAAGGAAGG